CAGAUUAAUAGGUAUUGUUUUCUCCUUAAAUCAAUUAAUAUUUUUCUCUUUCCAUUUGGAACCUGUUUGAUCCAUAGGUAAAUUGAAGUGUUAUUCUAAUAUACAAGUAUGUUUAAUUUUUAUAAAAUGUUUCAAUUAUUUUGUAAGGAAGGGGCUAUUGAUAAGUGACAUUUUGGUAUUGUUGGGACUUUCCUACUGGCCUCCUCUGCCAGGUACUGGAUAUCCCUUACACAUUUCACCUUAUUAUAAUGAGAAAGUUAACUCUUGUUUUGGCCAGAAGAGCCUUAUUCCAUUUUGCUUGCUAAUGAAAGAUGGCUUAAAUUUGUAAAUAUGCAAAGUUUAUCAUAGAGUAUAGUCACAUGUCAGUUAUUUCCGUUUUUUUCUCUUUGCUCUUUGUCGUUCCUUCUGGCUGGGAUUCAAAUAAUAAGACUUUGCAUUCAGACAGACCUGUUGUUGGACAACAAAGUGUAGAAUUGGAAAUGGCUCUCCUAAAUUGUUUUGUCACCUGGGUAAUGUGACAUUUUCUGAAAUCUGUUUCCUUUAUCGUUCUGUGUUGGAAUUCACCGGUAGCCUCACUUGCGUGAGAUUUGGAAGGCAGAAUCAAGCGAGGCAUUAGGCGGAUUUAGGAGCCACCAUACAGGGAGAGAGACAGUCACAUAGCGGCUUCAAGGCCACCUGGUUCCAGCCUUUUUUCCUGAGUCCUUGCCCUGCCAAUCAAGAGUAUCCUCAAAACCACAAUCAGCUGCUUGAUUCCACUCUGUCAGAGAUCACGUAGUUUGGAUUUUCCUGCAAGCUUCCAUGUGUCCACCAGGCAACUCAUUCAUACUUUUCUGUGUUAGAGUUUUCUCUGAUGCUCGGACUGCCAUUUUCUCUAGAUUCUGUUCAUUUAAGGUCUAAUUUGUGUAGUAAACACCUUGUUCUGGUUACACUACUUGUGACCGUGUGUUCAUGAUUCCACUGUGACAGCUACAGUGGUGCUGUCCAAAAGAACCACGUGGCAUUGGUUCCUCCACUGCACUGUGCAGCAACUGCUCAGGCCCAGGCCAUCCCUGUUCCUCACAUCAGGCAGAUGAUGGACGUUUCCCAUUGCUCACAGCUGUACAAAAUUCCUCAGUACAUUUUCAGUUAUGUUUGCGACUAAAAACAAUGCAUUUUUGUCAGACAGUUGUUGUAGUUGUGUGUAGUUGUGUCUUGGGAAUAUUGUGUUUUUCGUUUCCUGUGCACAUAAUAAAAUAUUGUAAUAAUGGAUUUUCAGAUCAGCUUUGAAUCUCGUCAAGUUAAUUGUUACAUAUUUUCACUCAGUAUUACUUUGUGUAUACAAUUUCAGGUAUUUCUCAGGUAAAUUUUUUUUUGUCUUACAGUUACAGUUUUUGUCAUGAAACUAAUUUCCCGUUCAUUUGUUUUGUCAGUGCCAUCUUGCGAAAACCCACCAGGAUCACACUAGCAGUCACCCAGAGGGCUGUGAUGAGUUGUAGGAUAAGGAUGAGCACAAGCCCUGAAUGACUGUGCCUCUAUCAGUAAGAGGGCACAGAGGGACUUAGGAUUUGGGCUUCUGCUAGGUGAUUUGAUUGCUAGUCAAGGAAGCAGGACGUUUGUCGUGAAUGCUGUGAGGAGGUACAUUUUAUUCUGUCAUUGAUGAUCAUAAUCACUGUUUUCCACAAGGCAAGGGCAGUGUAGUGGAGCUAAACCUAAUUUGUAAGAAGCUCCAGUCAGUUGUGUUAUUAAGAAGAGGGGAAUGUCGGUCAUUUUUAUGGUUUGGAAUUCUCUUUUACCAUUUUUAGAGAUAUGGUUACAAAAUACCCUUACUUUUGUCCUGAUCUAUCAUGAUCAUUGAAUAGCUUUGUCUGGUGAUGGACAUGUGUGACAUAUUUCUCUUCAGCAGGAUAAAUAGCAGUUAAAUAAAUUCACCUCUUCAUCAAGUAUGUAAUACCUUUAACAUCUCCUUUAUGACUCAACUCAGGCCUGUAAGUUUGGGGUAAAUUGUGAGGGAACACAAACCUUGCAAGUGGG
ensembl:lncRNA